rnacentral:rRNA from 1 species
UACGGAGGGGGCUAGCGUUGUUCGGAAUUACUGGGCGUAAAGCGCACGUAGGCGGACUGUUAAGUCGGGGGUGAAAUCCUGGGGCUCAACCUCAGAAUUGCCUCCGAUACUGGCAAUCUUGAGUCCGGGAGAGGUGAGUGGAACUCCGAGUGUAGAGGUGAAAUUCGUAGAUAUUCGGAAGAACACCAGUGGCGAAGGCGGCUCACUGGCCCGGUACUGACGCUGAGGUGCGAAAGCGUGGGGAGCAAACAGG